rnacentral:rRNA from 1 species
AUACGAAGGUCCCAAGCGUUAUUCGGAAUCACUGGGCGUAAAGAGUACGUAGGCGGUUUGGUAAGUCAGGUGUGAAAUCCCGGAGCUCGACUCCGGAACUGCAUCCGAUACUGCCAGACUUGAGUAAUGGAGAGGCAGGUGGAAUUCUCGGUGUAGCUGUGAAAUGCGUGGAUAUCGAGAGGAAGACCAAUGGCGAAGGCAGCCUGCUGGACAUUUACUGACGCUGAGGUACGAAGGCUAGGGGAGCGAAAGGGAUUAGAAACCCCAGUAGUCC